AAACCAACAGGGAUUGCCCUAGUAACGGCGAGUGAAGCGGCAACAGCUCAAAUUUGAAAUCUGGCUUUCGGGUCCGAGUUGUAAUUUGUAGAGGAUGCUUUUGGCGCGGUGCCUUCCGAGUUCCCUGGAACGGGACGCCUUAGAGGGUGAGAGCCCCGUACGGUUGGACACCAAGCCUCUGUAAAGCUCCUUCGACGAGUCGAGUAGUUUGGGAAUGCUGCUCUAAAUGGGAGGUAAAUUUCUUCUAAAGCUAAAUAUUGGCCAGAGACCGAUAGCGCACAAGUAGAGUGAUCGAAAGAUGAAAAGCACUUUGAAAAGAGGGUUAAAUAGCACGUGAAAUUGUUGAAAGGGAAGCGUUUGCGACCAGACCUUUUCCUAGCGGAUCAUCCGGUGUUCUCACCGGUGCACUUCGCUAGGUUUAGGCCAGCAUCGGUUUUCGUAGGGGGAUAAAAGCUUGGGGAAUGUAGCUCCCUCGGGAGUGUUAUAGCCCCUCGCAUAAUACCCUUGCGGGGACCGAGGACCGCGCUCUAUGCAAGGAUGCUGGCAUAAUGGUUGUCAACGAC
rnacentral:rRNA from 1 species